CUACGGUAGUUUCUACAUUGGCGCAAUCACACUUUCCGGAGACACAAACGCAUGAAGCAGGAGGUGGACAACCAGGAGAACCGCACUGAUUUAUGCAAUCUUUGCUACUCUUGCAAGUCAAAGACCUAGCAUUCACAUUAUUUAAACUAUCUGCAAAAAUGGCCAUUGUUUAUACUUCUUACAUAUAUUAAAAUCUAUAAAAAUAUUGAAAAUUAUAAAAUAAAUAAGAAAAAAUGUGGAUAAAUAAAUACCAAAAGUAGAAAGGAAUAGCACAAGCAACAAAACCAUGGUUGUGGUUGAUGGCUUCAUUUUUCUUUCCUCUAAAAUAUUGCAAAACUUUU
rnacentral:lncRNA from 1 species